UACGAAGGGGGCUAGCGUUGCUCGGAAUCACUGGGCGUAAAGGGUGCGUAGGCGGGUUUUUAAGUCAGAGGUGAAAUCCUGGAGCUCAACUCCAGAACUGCCUUUGAUACUGAAAGUCUUGAGUAUGGGAGAGGUGAGUGGAACUGCGAGUGUAGAGGUGAAAUUCGUAGAUAUUCGCAAGAACACCAGUGGCGAAGGCGGCUCACUGGCCCAUUACUGACGCUGAGGCACGAAAGCGUGGGGGAGCAAACAGG
rnacentral:rRNA from 1 species